rnacentral:ncRNA from 1 species
GGGGCCGUUCCUGUCUAUGUCCUGGAACAGGACGUCAUAGAGGGUGAGAAUCCCGUGUGGCGAGGAGUGCGGUUCUUGUAAAGUGCCUUCGAAGAGUCGAGUUGUUGGAAUGCAGCUCUAAGUGGUGUAAAUCCAUCUAAAGCUAAAUAUUGGCGAGAGACCGAUAGCGAACAAGUACAGUGAUGKMRWGAUGAAAAGAACUUGUAAAGAAGAGUGAAAAGUAACGUGAAUUAGUUGUAAGGGAAAGGGGCGAUUUGUAUCAGACAUGGUGGUUUUGUUGCCCUCCUGCUCCUUG